GUGGACAGGCAGGUGGACAGGCAGGUGGACAGGCAGGUGGACAGGAAGCUCACUCCCCGACGCCUCUUUCUACCGUCACUGAUGAAUAAAUCAAUUCUGUCCGGACUGCAUCUGCAGUCGCUGGGAGUCAUUUCGGAUGCUCCGCUCAGGGUCCCUCUAGGCCGGGCGUAAAGCUGAAGGACAGGCAGACAGGUGACAGAGAACGGUCAGGCCGUCCAAUCACAGCCCACCAGUGUCCCUGAAUGAGUCCUUUUAAAAGCAGCGAGGAAGCCGAUAAUAACGCAAUCGAAGCUGUUGAACAGAGACAAAGAUCUGCCCUCUCUCACAUCGUCUUCAUGUUUUAAAAGGGUUUUUUCAACAAGGUGAAACUAAAAGGGAUCAUUAAAGUUUCAUCUUAUCAGCAGACUGCAGCAGAGGCUCGACUCAGUCAGACUGAAGGAACAACGUGAGAAGUGACACGCUGAAUUAAACCAUUUUACCCGACUGCUUCUCCUCAGACCAUUACACCACCUGCAGGGUCAGUCUGAAGCACACGAUCAGACGCCGAGACAACAUGAAACACGUCUUUAGAAACAACGAGUUAAAUGAAUUUACAUGAACCCAUUUAAAUAUUCAGCGUCUCAGAGUGUCUGAAUCACAUCAUGACUUAAUGACUUGCAGGCUACGGGGGCAGGUGAUUGUGGCUAAUGUAGUCUGUGAUCUGUUUGCAGCCUUCUUGCGAAGAUGUUAUUUUUAUUUUUCCCCUUUCAUUUCUAAA